rnacentral:rRNA from 1 species
AGAGUUUGAUCCUGGCUCAGGACGAACGCUGGCGGCAUGCUUAACACAUGCAAGUCUAGGAGCUCUUCGGAGCAACUGGCGCACGGGUGAGUAACACGUAGGUCAUCUGCCCCUAUCACAGGCAUAACAUCGGGAAACCGGUGCUAAUAUCUGAUGAGGUCUUGCGAUCAAAGCCUUCGGGCGGAUAGGGAUGAGCCUGCGGCUGAUUAGCUAGUUGGUGAGGUAAUGGCUCACCAAGGCGACGAUCAGUAGCUGGACUGAGAGGUCGAACAGCCACACUGGAACUGAGACACGGUCCAGACUCCUACGGGAGGCAGCAGUGAGGAAUAUUGGUCAAUGGGAGCAAUCCUGAACCAGCAAUGCCGCGUGUGGGAUGACAGGGCUCAGCCUUGUAAACCACUGUCGGAUGGGACGAGAAGGUGCUUAUGGCACCCGGGACGGUACCAUCAAAGGAAGGGUCGGCUAACUACGUGCCAGCAGCCGCGGUAAU